rnacentral:lncRNA from 1 species
CCUCUUUCUCCUUCUCACUCAAGGACACUUUCAAGUGCAGACAGCUCUCCCUCCCCCUUACAAAUGACUCAGCCUUAUAAAAAUGCACCUCUGUGCUGCCCUAACUCCCAUUACCAGCUUCUUGUUGACACAGCAGAAAUUCCAAACAAAACCUGGAUGUUUUAUUAAACUGAGGAGUCAGAAGGAAAGAAGUUCAGUGGAGGAUGAAUUGGAGAGGGGAAGAGCUUGGAGACAAGAAGAUCAGUUUGAAGAUGAUUACAAUAGUAAAGAUGACCUCAUCUUCCUCUUUACUGAGAAAACUGAGACCAUCCAUGAUGACUCUCUUAUCUCUCCUACUCUUGACGUCAAGUGGACUUUUCCCCACUUGGUGGAUGGCGGGAGGUCUUCGCCCGAGCGCCAGCGGAAAAGCAAUCAUCCCGCUGCGGGAGCGGCCGGGGGCUGGUGCCCACCGGUCCGCGCUCCCGCCAGGGCCGCGGCGAGGCCCGCGAAGGCUGGCACCACAGCGAGUCGGCGGUCGCCCCCGCCGGAGUCCCGGCUGCGCCGCUGGCCGGGAGGGGCGUGAAGCGGGCGGGGAAGAUGGCAGCGGACAAGGCCGCAGAUCAAGGAACAGAGAAACAUGA